rnacentral:rRNA from 1 species
AGGUGGUAUGUUAAUAGCAUAUCAUUUGACGUUAGCUGCAGAAGAAGCACCGGCUAACUCCGUGCCAGCAGCCGCGGUAAUACGGAGGGUGCGAGCGUUAAUCGGAAUUACUGGGCGUAAAGCGCAUGCAGGUGGUUUGUUAAGUCAGAUGUGAAAGCCCGGGGCUCAACCUCGGAAUUGCAUUUGAAACUGGCAAACUAGAGUACUGUAGAGGGGGUAGAAUUUCAGGUGUAGCGGUGAAAUGCGUAGAGAUCUGAAGGAAUACCGGUGGCGAAGGCGGCCCCCUGGACAGAUACUGACACUCAGAUGCGAAAGCGUGGGGAGCAAACAGGAUUAGAUACCCUGGUAG